GGCUAGGGACAAUCAUGACGAUAGUUUAUUGUGGUCAGUGGUACUAUACUCUUUUCACAGACUUCGGGCUAGCAAUGUAAGAACCACGCUUACGUUUAUAGCCUCGCACAUUAACAACUCUACGCCCUAUGGCUCACAGUGGGAUGUAAACGGAAUUACUUUUGCCAUAAAGCUCGACUCUACCGUGAGACUAAUUUACCUUCCUUCGAAAAAUGAACAGAAACUCAACCACUGACGUAGAAUCAAGGCGAUGCCUAUCGUUACUAUAUAUAGAUUACUUAUGAUUUGCUGCUUAUUGGUGACAGGAGAUCGCCACUAGCCAAUAGGGCCCCCUUUUCAAUUGUUGCAUCGUAUGUCGCUAACUUUUACCUACAAAGUACAUACGAAUCUCAAAAUGUUACAAACACGAAAUUUGAAAAUGCUAUACGAACCAGCCUAUAAGAAAGCAGUGAGUCUCAAUAUUAAAUAUGUCGAAGUACCCAAACUCGUGUUUCAAAUGGACCACUUGAUAGAUAGGCAAGGGAUUAAGCUGCCCCUAGCUAUGUAGUAUAUGCGGUCACUAAGCGCCACGGUACCUGAAAAAACAUUUGGUGAUAUUGAAGCGGGAAUGGUGAUUUGCUAACAACUAUUUAGCAAUAAGUAGGUUACAGUUCCCAGUUGAGUGGGCUUGGUUCAGAAGAGCCGAUAACGACGAUGACGUCUCGAACCCAGUUUUCAGACUACUGCAAACCCUUGUGCGUGUUAGAGAAAGGCUGAAGAACCGACCUGCGAGCUAAAUCCACGUCUCCCGGUUUGUCGACAAUGACCUAUCAGGAACGAGUCCGUGCCGGUUCGGGGGGACGUUGAGUGCCGUGAUCCGGCCUCUGAAAGCUGGCGCACUUUUUCAAGGGCUUCUGCGCCGUCGUGAUAGACAAUGCCACUUGUUUCACAUCGCAGAAAAUACUGGACAGCGGGAAAAUCGCAUUGGACACAUUGAGACGGCUGUCGGACACCUAUGACCCAACUGGUUGGUAUGAUUCGAACGUCAUGGAAAGCCUAGAGGAGGAAGGAUAUAAUUCGCUUUAGAACCCACUUGCGUGGGUUACGUUUCUGAUCAAAAUAUCCACAAACGAGAAGCUGGGAAAGACGCCGUUCGAGUUGUUUCCCGGUUAUCGGGCUAUCUUCACCGGAGAGUCGGCUGUCGGAAUGUCGCGCAAGAUGUCGCGGGAACGCACACUAAGCGCUCUACAAUCGACAAAUGGUACGUGAAAGCACCGUUUAAAUGGGAAAAGUCUGCUCCACAAAGUUCAAGAACGGCACGAAGGUACUUGUGAAAGUCAGAUGAACUGAUCGAGAACGACACCUGAUCACGAACGGAAAGUAUAUACCGCCUUAACUUAAAAAAAAAAACCACCUCAGUGUCGCGGCCGGACGUCGCCUGCAAACGUUAACUCUGUCAUCAUUUCUAAAUGAAUGCGGCCUUUUAUACCUGCGGUUACUAUGUGGCGUUUCCAAUUCCGAUAUGGCUGAACCAAUUCGUUCUCUCUUUGUCAAGAUGUCAAUGAAAGUUUCAUCUUUAUGUGUGGUAUGUAAAGCAUCUGGGCGUAACUAAGAACAUUGGAUCGUAUUUGAUUUGUCUACGCAUAGGGUCCGAUCUCGUUACUAUUUGAAAUCUCUGUGUGUAUAGUAGUAGUAAAAACUUUUCUGUGUUUAUCAGGUGUGUAAAUGGCUUUAUAUUGUUAAGGUUAUGGUGUAUUCCAUUUGAUAAGUAUUCUGUUUCUCUUGUGCCCGUUU
rnacentral:lncRNA from 1 species